CUGCUCAGAUUGAACGCUGGCGGCAGGCUUAACACAUGCAAGUCGAGCGGAUGAAGGUAGCUUGCUACUGGAUUCAGCGGCGGACGGGUGAGUAAUGCUUAGGAAUCUGCCUAUUAGUGGGGGACAACGUUCCGAAAGGAGCGCUAAUACCGCAUACGUCCUACGGGAGAAAGCAGGGGACCUUUGGGCCUUGCGCUAAUAGAUGAGCCUAAGUCGGAUUAGCUAGUUGGUAGGGUAAAGGCCUACCAAGGCGACGAUCUGUAGCGGGUCUGAGAGGAUGAUCCGCCACACUGGGACUGAGACACGGCCCAGACUCCUACGGGAGGCAGCAGUGGGGAAUAUUGGACAAUGGGGGGAACCCUGAUCCAGCCAUGCCGCGUGUGUGAAGAAGGCCUUUUGGUUGUAAAGCACUUUAAGCGAGGAGGAGGCUACCUAGAUUAAUACUUUAGGAUAGUGGACGUUACUCGCAGAAUAAGCACCGGCUAACUCUGUGCCAGCAGCCGCGGUAAUACAGAGGGUGCGAGCGUUAAUCGGAUUUACUGGGCGUAAAGCGUGCGUAGGCGGCCAAUUAAGUCAAAUGUGAAAUCCCCGAGCUUAACUUGGGAAUUGCAUUCGAUACUGGUUGGCUAGAGUAUGGGAGAGGAUGGUAGAAUUCCAGGUGUAGCGGUGAAAUGCGUAGAGAUCUGGAGGAAUACCGAUGGCGAAGGCAGCCAUCUGGCCUAAUACUGACGCUGAGGUACGAAAGCAUGGGGAGCAAACAGGAUUAGAUACCCUGGUAGUCCAUGCCGUAAACGAUGUCUACUAGCCGUUGGGGCCCUUGAGGCUUUAGUGGCGCAGCUAACGCGAUAA
rnacentral:rRNA from 1 species